rnacentral:sRNA from 1 species
AUUGGGAUACAGUCAGUCCUUGCUCACAGUUGCUCGAGGCAACAGCAUUUCAAAAUUUACAAAUUAUUCAAAUUCCAAAAAAAUAUGCUGGAUUGUUACCCCUUUUGUGCACUGUCUGUGUCUGCUGAAUGAUUCUGUCUGCUGUUCAAAGGCUGCCACCUUUCUCCGAGGCGGUCGUCCAGAAUCUAAACAUCCUUGACCGCUACAUCCUGGAACCAGCUUUCGUGCAUCUGGGUCAACGCAACAUUCUCCAGCCAGCCAAGGAUUAAGCACCCCCUCUCUAAGAGCUGAUACUAGAAGCUGCAAUCCAUGAAGGCCUUGCUCGAUCCGGGAAUCGUAGUGCAUCCACGGCGUCGUGGGAUAUUCCCACCGUAAGAUCGCUGAUCUGCUCCGACAAGCUCCGUCCCGUUCUCGACGAAGUACAAUUGGCCGUACUGGACUCAGCGGUGGAUGGUUAAAGGCUUCGCACAUGCGUCGGGAUGUCGUCCUUGGGGCAGUACACUCCCAGCGGUAACAUCCGCUUGAAGUUCGAGCUCCCAAUUUUCAAAGAUCGUUGAAUAAAUGCAUCGAAAGAUGCUCCACAGCUUACCUUUCGAGGUUUUCUCAUUGAA